UACGGAGGGGCGAGCGUUAUUCGGAAUUAUUGGGCGUAAAGGGCGCGUAGGCGGCCCGGUAAGUCAAAGGUGAAAUCCCUCGGCUCAACUGAGGAACUGCCUUUGAAACUGUCGGGCUUGAGGCCGGGAGGGGUAGGCGGAAUUCCCAGUGUAGCGGUGAAAUGCGUAGAUACUGGGAGGAACACCGGUGGCGAAGGCGGCGACCUGGGUAGAUACGUGACGGCUGAGGUGCGAAAGCG
rnacentral:rRNA from 1 species